rnacentral:rRNA from 1 species
CUCCUGGAAACGGGUGGUAAUGCCGGAUGCUCCAGAUGACCGCAUGGGAUUCUGGGAAAGCUUUUGCGGCAUGGGAUGGGGUCGCGUCCUAUCAGCUUGUUGGUGGGGUGAUGGCCCACCAAGGCUUCGACGGGUAGCCGGCCUGAGAGGGCGACCGGCCACAUUGGGACUGAGAUACGGCCCAGACUCCUACGGGAGGCAGCAGUGGGGAAUAUUGCGCAAUGGGCGAAAGCCUGACGCAGCGACGCCGCGUGCGGGAUGGAGGCCUUCGGGUUGUAAACCGCUUUUAUCGGGGAGCAAGCGAGAGUGAGUGUGCCCGUUGAAUAAGCACCGGCUAACUACGUGCCAGCAGCCGCGGUAAUACGUAGGGUGCAAGCGUUAUCCGGAUUUAUUGGGCGUAAAGGGCUCGUAGGCGGUUCGUCGCGUCUGGUGUGAAAGUCCAUCGCUUAACGGUGGAUCUGCGCCGGGUACGGGCGGGCUGGAGUGCGGCAGGGGAGACUGGAAUUCCCGGUGUAACGGUGGAAUGUGUAGAUAUCGGGAAGAACACC